rnacentral:rRNA from 1 species
GAUGAACGCUAGCGGCAGGCCUAAUACAUGCAAGUCGAACGGGUGUGAGCAGCAAUGUUCACACUAGUGGCGCACGGGUGCGUAACGCGUAUGCAACCUACCUUUUACCGGGGGAUAGCCUUCCGAAAGGGAGAUUAAUACCGCAUAAGAUCACACUUUGGCAUCAGGGAGUGAUUAAAACUGAGGUGGUAAAAGAUGGGCAUGCGUCCGAUUAGCUAGUUGGUGAGGGAGUGGCCCACCAAGGCGACGAUCGGUCGGGGACCUGAGAGGGCGAUCCCCCACACUGGCACUGAGAUACGGGCCAGACUCCUACGGGAGGCAGCAGUAGGGAAUAUUGGUCAAUGGACGCAAGUCUGAACCAGCCAUGCCGCGUGAAGAUGAAGGUCCUCUGGAUUGUAAACUUCUUUUAUAUGGGACGAAACCCGGG